CGUGUGCGGGCGAGGCAGCUGCCGGAUGGACCAGCAAAGGGCUUGUGUCACGGCUUCAUAAAUCCCGCAUGCUUAGCGAUAAUUAUAGCCAGUAUUUACUGAGCUCUGUGUAUUACCAGCCCCUGUGCUAAUCCUUGCAGCCGUGGGGAAGAGGCAACACCCACAUCCCCGGGGCCUAAUGAGCCAAGAGGACCAGGUAGAUUCCAUCCCCGCCCCGAGGAUUCUGGAGGGUGCCCUGGACAAGGACACAGGCAAUUGUGAAACUGUGUUUCCUGCUCUAAUGGAGGUGACUCUGAAAGUGUCUCUUUUUGGGGUGACGGAAGUGUUCUGAAAUUGAUCGUGGUGAUGGUCACACAAG